CACCGCCCGCCCUUGAUUUCGAGGCCCCUUUUUGGGAGGGUCAUCCAUGGAGAAGCAUUAUAAGUAUUGGGCAAGCUCGCUUCCCAUCACGAGAAUUACUACAUUUUGUAACCUAGAAAUUAGAUAAUCAGUCUAGUAUCCCCCAAAAAUGACGAGAAGUACAUUUCAAGUUGGAGACAUUUUCCAGCCAGAGAGACAGAGAGCAGAGAUCGAGCGUCUGAAGGAUACGCUCGGAGUUGCAAACGUUAUUAUCAAUAUUGAAUCGAAAACUGUAACCUUUGAGCAUGAUCAGGGCGUCACCGUGGCCAGCAUAGAAAACGCUCUGAGAGGUCUUCGUUUAAAUCCAUCUCUCAUCAUGACAGCUGAAUAAAUUUGUUGUAACAGCGAGCCCCCAGGGAUAUGGAAGAAUCUCUGAUGAUUGUGGGACCGCACUUGAAGCGUUUUUAUUAGGUAGUUUAUAUCACAUGAAUAAAAUGGGACAGCUCACUGUGCUGCCUGUUACCUAUUAUAAUCUUUCCUUUUCUUACUGUAAAAGUUACAGAUUAGAUUUUCUGAAACGCUGGUGUCCGAUUCAUGGAUAACUAACUGAAGCAGCAACAAAAGUCAAAUUUUUUGAAGUAAAAAAUUUUCGCAACUGUUCAAUUAUAGAUAGAGACAAUUUUAUUAUAAAAGUCAAUUCGUACAAUUCUAAAAUGCGUG